rnacentral:rRNA from 1 species
UACGGGGGGGGCAAGCGUUGUUCGGAAUUACUUGGCGUAAAGGGCUCGUAGGUGGCCAACUAAGUCAGACGUGAAAUCCCUCGGCUUAACCGGGGAACUGCGUCUGAUACUGGAUGGCUUGAGUUCGGGAGAGGGAUGCGGAAUUCCAGGUGUAGCGGUGAAAUGCGUAGAUAUCUGGAGGAACACCGGUGGCGAAGGCGGCAUCCUGGACCGACACUGACACUGAGGAGCGAAAGCCAGGGGAGCAAACGGG